CAGCCGCCGCGGGAAUACGAAGGGUGCGAGCGUUAAUCGGAAUUACUGGGCGUAAAGCGUGUGCAGGCGGUUAUAUAAGACAGAUGUGAAAUCCCCGGGCUCAACCUGGGACCUGCAUUUGUGACUGUAUAGCUAGAGUACGGUAGAGGGGGAUGGAAUUCCGCGUGUAGCAGUGAAAUGCGUAGAUAUGCGGAGGAACACCGAUGGCGAAGGCAAUCCCCUGGACCUGUACUGACGCUUAUGCACGAAAGCGUGGGGAGCAAACAGGAUUAGAUACCCCGGUAGUCCCUGUCUCUUAUAC
rnacentral:rRNA from 1 species